AACGAACGCUGGCGGCAUGCCUAACACAUGCAAGUCGAACGAGACCUUCGUGUCUAGUGGCGCACGGGUGCGUAACGCGUGGGAACCUGCCCUUAGGUUCGGAAUAACUCCCCGAAAGGGGUGCUAAUACCGGAUAAUGUCUUCGGACCAAAGAUUUAUCGCCUUUGGAUGGGCCCGCGUUUGAUUAGCUAGUUGGUAGGGUAAAAGCCUACCAAGGCGACGAUCCAUAGCUGUUCUGAGAGGAUGAUCAGCCACACUGGGACUGAGACACGGCCCAGACCCCUACGGGAGGCAGCAGUGGGGAAUAUUGGACACUGGGCGAAAGCCUGAUCAAGCAAUGCCGGGUGAGUGAUGAAGGCCUUAGGGUUGUAAAGCUCUUUUACCCGGGAUGAUAAUGACAGUACCGGGAGAAUAAGCACCGGCUAACUCCGUG
rnacentral:rRNA from 1 species